GCCUGGGUGGCUCAGUGGUCUAGCACCUGCCUUCGGCCCAGGGUGUGAUCCUGGAGACCUGGGAUCGAGUCCCAGGUCAGGCU
rnacentral:tRNA from 1 species